UUAUAAAAAAUGACAAUAAGUAGCUGGGAAUUAUAUUAAAAUAAUUUCAGAUUACCAGAAUGUCUAAGCUAUUAUUGUUGAUACUCUUUAUUGCUUUAAUUGCACAAAUAUCUGCAGUAUGUUUGACAAAAGGCUCAGCAUGUGGAGAUAUUAUUAUUACUGAAUGCUGUAGCGGUAAAUGUUUUCCUGAUCCAAAAAUAAAUAUGUUAAAAACAUGUAAAGAAUAAUCGAAGUAAUAAUAGCUCUAAUUUUUGAUAAAAAUUAUUUAUAAAAAUUAAAAAAUUGUAAAAAAUUAUAUAAAUAUUUUAUCAAGCAAUUAUUUUCUUAGAAUUGUUAAUUAUUAAUUAUUAAUUAUAAGCCUUGACCUCGUUGAUUAUAUCAUAAAUGUCACAAAAAUUGAAUAUAUAAAUGUAAAAAAUUCAAGAUUUAUUAUUACAACAAUUUAAUAAUUUAUAUAAGCAACUAGUAGACAUUUUACCUUUUUAAAAUGUCAAAACUUUUUAUUUCGAUCCUUUUAAUCACUUUAAUCGCAUACGCGAUUGCUAAAGAUUGCUUACCGAAUGGUUCAAUGUGCAAUAAUGGAAUUGUGACGCCUUGUUGUGGAAGAUGUAUCGCGGACCCGAAUAUACAUUUGAUGUCCGAGUGCAAAGAUUGACUUCUUCUUUAAAAUUAAUUAAAAAAAAAUUUUUAAUUAUUUAAAAACAAACAAAUAAAAAUAUUAAUGAGAAA